rnacentral:tRNA from 3 species
CGGGAUAGCUCAGCUGGUAGAGCAAAGGACUGAAAAUC